rnacentral:rRNA from 1 species
CACUUCGGUGGGGAUUAGUGGCGAACGGGUGAGUAACACGUGGGCAAUCUGCCCUGCACUCUGGGACAAGCCCUGGAAACGGGGUCUAAUACCGGAUAUGAGUCUCCAUCGCAUGGUGGGGGCUGUAAAGCUCCGGCGGUGCAGGAUGAGCCCGCGGCCUAUCAGCUUGUUGGUGAGGUAACGGCUCACCAAGGCGACGACGGGUAGCCGGCCUGAGAGGGCGACCGGCCACACUGGGACUGAGACACGGCCCAGACUCCUACGGGAGGCAGCAGUGGGGAAUAUUGCACAAUGGGCGAAAGCCUGAUGCAGCGACGCCGCGUGAGGGAUGACGGCCUUCGGGUUGUAAACCUCUUUCAGCAGGGAAGAAGCGAAAGUGACGGUACCUGCAGAAGAAGCGCCGGCUAACUACGUGCCAGCAGCCGCGGUAAUACGUAGGGCGCGAGCGUUGUCCGGAAUUAUUGGGCGUAAAGAGCUCGUA